rnacentral:rRNA from 1 species
GAUGAACGCUGGCGGCGUGCUUAACACAUGCAAGUCGAACGAACAGAGGAGAGCUUGCUCUCCAAAGUUAGUGGCGGACGGGUGAGUAACGCGUGGGUAACCUGCCUCAUGCAGGGGGAUAACAUCUGGAAACGGAUGCUAAUACCGCAUAAACUAUGGAUGACCGCAUGGUCAUUAUAGCAAAGAUUUAUCGGCAUGAGAUGGACCCGCGUUGGAUUAGCUAGUUGGUGAGAUAACAGCCCACCAAGGCGACGAUCCAUAGGGUUCUGAGAGGAAGGUCCCCCAGACUGGUACUGAGACACGGACCAGACUCCUACGGGAGCAGCAGUGAGGAAUA